rnacentral:lncRNA from 1 species
CCGUGGCACUUUGGUAAUGGCUCGGCAGCCUAUUAUAGGGGGGAGGGGAGUCGUGAUGCUGAAACUCGAGUUGCCCAAAGGCUUGCUGGGCGCAAUGCCAGCCAGAUGCACGUUGCCUUGCCAUCCCCUAGGCACACUAGCAAGCACGUUGUGGUUGUGGUGUGCCGCCGGGCUCCCCCGCCCCCCACGGAGGCACCCGCCGUUGCAAUGAUGGCUCGGAGCGUUGCAACGGAGGAGCCAAAUUUUCAUAUCUCAGAAUUGGCUCGUGCAUUUUUCGUGAAAUUUUGAGGGAACCUUGGUAAUAUUAUGUGAAGGCUGCACAAAAAAAUCCAGGUCAAAAAUCGCAGGUUUGCUCCGUUUUUCAUUUUUUUUGAAUUUCCGGCUUUUCGGGCGGUAAAAAAAUCGUCAAAAAAAUCCACACGGUGUAAAUUCACCAAAUUUGGGGGAUGGAAAGAUCUUAUUUUUCUAGAGGUUGUUGCAAAAAACGGCGUCAAAAUUCGACCUCUAGAGCACUUUCCUUGAGUAUGUCUCCUCACGGAAAAGGACGUCUACCCGUGGCACUUUGGUAAUGGCUCGGCAGCCUAUUAUAGGGGGAGGGGUGUCCCGGUGCUGAAACUCGAGUUACCCAAAGGCUUGCUGGGCGCAAUGCCAGCAAGAUGCACGUUGCCUUGCCAUCCCCUAGGCACACUAGCAAGCACGUUGUGGUUGUGGUGUGCCGCCGGGCUCCCCUGCCCCCCACGGAGGCACCCGCCGUUGCAACGAUGGCUCGGAGCGUUGCAACGCAGGAGCCAAAUUUUCAUAUCUCAAAAUUGGCUCGUGCAUUUUUCGUGAUAUUUUGAGGGAACCUUGGUAAUAUUAUGUGAAGGCUGCACACAAAAAUCCAGGUCAAAAAUCGCACGUUUGCUC